rnacentral:snoRNA from 1 species
CUCUGGCCAAUUAAAUUGGCCAUACUCUUUUCUUCGUCUUGAGGCCUGUGUGCAAUGACUGCAAACAACAGCCUCCAUGUUAGAGUACACAGCCAGUUGCUCCAAGGGCCCUAGGAGAUAGUU